AAAUUGAAGAGUUUGAUCAUGGCUCAGAUUGAACGCUGGCGGCAGGCCUAACACAUGCAAGUCGAACGGUAACAGAAAGCAGCUUGCUGCUUUGCUGACGAGUGGCGGACGGGUGAGUAAUGUCUGGGAAACUGCCUGAUGGAGGGGGAUAACUACUGGAAACGGUAGCUAA
rnacentral:rRNA from 1 species